rnacentral:lncRNA from 1 species
GUCAAGGGGGCAUGGAGAGUGCUGGCUAGUGCGUGUGCGAUUUCUUUUGGGGGAAGAUGGAAAUAUUCUUACUGACUGUGCUGAUAGCGGUUUGAUUAUGAUACACACCAUUCCUUUGCUUGCUUUAUCUGGGUGAAUUUCACGCUGUACAAAUUAUAUCUCAAUGCUAGAUAUAGAUCUCAGUAUAUAAAUAAGUUGUAAAUAAAGCUCAAUUAUAUCCCAAUAAAGCUGUUAUUAAAAAAAAAUAGGAACAAGAGGAAGCUCAGGAAAAACAAGUUCCUGACGACGAUGCAGGGGAAGAAAGCUUGGCUCCCAGCUAGACCCGCUUCCCUCUGCUCCUUCCUGCAGGGGGGAGGAAGCAGGGCUGAGGGAGGAGAGCCAGUGGGCCAGCCUCAGCCCUCGCCUCCACCGGCAUCCCCAGAUCAAGUCCUGACGGACCCAAGAGACAAGUAGCAAGGAGCAAACAAGCCAUCAAAAUCAAUCUGUGAGAGGUGCAGC